AUGUUCUCCCACCAAGGUGUUGAAUUUGAAUCCUACCGAGUUGAACGAUGUCACACUGAUGGAACAAACACAAAUGAUCCUCAUGAUAGGGUUUACAUUAACCUUCCCAGAAAUCACCACGUCCUUAGGAAAGUUAGGGACUGCCUCCACUGUGGAGCAUUGCGGUUUCAAUACGAGGGACCUGCAUUUUGUUGCAGAAAGGGGAAAGUAGGUUUAUUUACACCCGAGGUUCCGGACGAGUUGAAACGGUUGUUCACAAGUCAAUGUGAUGACGAUGCUAAAUAUUUUCGAGACAAUAUACGAUACUUCAACUCUCACUUCUCAUUCACAAGUCUUGGAGUCACCCUUGAUCGUCGAGUAAGCACUGCGGCACGAACCGGCGUAUAUACCUUCCGUGCAUGUGGGGGGUUGUACCACGCUCUUGAUGAUCUGGUGCCGGCUAAUAAUGGCCCUAGGCAUUUGCAGCUCUAUAUUUAUGAUACAGAUCAUAACUUGGUGCACAGGGCUAAGAGGUCUCCAGAUCUAAAUAUAGAUCUCAUACGGAAAAUUCUGCUAAUACUAGAGCCUAAACCUCAUGCGCAGGCUUUCAAGAGCCUUGGGUCUGUUCCGAAUCUAGAUGAGUACAAGAUCUCACUAAACACAGAUAUCAAGUUGGAUCAACGUACGUACAAUGCCCCAACGACUUCUCAGGUGGCAGCAAUAUGUGUUGAGGGGAGCCACCCACAAAAUUGUUUUGACAGGAGUGUUGUCGUGCAUGGCAAAAAAGGAGACCGACCCCUGUAUAUUAGAGCCUACUAUGGGUGCUAUGACCCAUUGUCAUAUCCAUUGUUUUUCCCACGUGGGGAGAGUGGUUGGAAUCGCUGGAUGCCGUAUGUUCAGGCCCCUGAUUACACCACCCAAGAUCCAGCACAUAAUUCUGGACCGCAAGAAAACCGGGCCUCUCAACUACAUACAGAUGGAAACUUGGUUAAUGGAAGGGAACAAUUUGGGAACUUUGUGCCAGCUGAAGACCGAGUAACUGAUUUACAUACAUAUGAUAAUUUGAUUAAUGAAAGGGAACAAGUUGGCAACUUUGUGCCAGAUGAAGACCAUGCCACUGGUGUACAUGCAGAUGAUAAUGAGGAUAACCAAGAUGAGGAUCUUGGUGACAAUGAGGUGAAUGCAACACAAUCCAGGAAAUUUGUUAGUGCGAGGGAGUACUACUGCUUCAAGCUACAGGCCAGGAAGAAGCUUUUUAACAUCAUCUUGUUCGGUGGGCGCCUUUUCCAACAGUGGGCUGUUGACAUGUAUAUCAAGAUUGAGACUAUGAGGCUGGACUGGUACUCAAAGCCAGAAAAUCAAAAGGUUAUAUGA
rnacentral:rRNA from 1 species